rnacentral:rRNA from 2 species
UACGGAGGAUGCAAGCGUUAUCCGGAAUUAUUGGGCGUAAAGCGUCCGCAGGUGGCACUUCAAGUCUGCUGUCAAAGACCGGGGCUUAACCCUGGAAAGGCAGUGGAAACUGAAGCGCUAGAGUGUGGCAGGGGUAGAGGGAAUUCCCGGUGUAGCGGUGAAAUGCGUAGAGAUCGGGAAGAACAUCGGUGGCGAAAGCGCUCUACUGGGCCACAACUGACACUCAGGGACGAAAGCUAGGGGAGCGAAUGGG